CGGUGCCCCCACCCUGUGCCACGGCCGGCGGGGGUUCCUGGGGAUGGGAUUUGCUACCUGUCACAAAUCACAUUGCCAGGGAUUUCCAACCGACCCUGGGCCCUGCCGUCGGGCCACC
rnacentral:pre_miRNA from 15 species